rnacentral:rRNA from 1 species
CCUACGGGGCGCAGCAGUGGGGAAUAUUGGACAAUGGGGGAAACCCUGAUCCAGCGACGCCGCGUGAGUGAAGAAGGAUUUCGGUACGUAAAGCUCUAUCAGCAGGAAAGAAAAUGACGGUACCUGACUAAGAAGCCGCGGAUAACGACGAGCCAGCAGCCGCGGUAAUACGUAUGGGGCAAGCGUGAUCCGGCUUUACUGGGUGUAAAGGGAGCGUAGACGGCAGCGCAAGUCUGGAGUGAAAUGCCGGGGCCCCACCCCGGAUCUGCUCUGGAAACCGUGAAGCUGGAGUGCAGGAGAGGUAAGCGGAAUUCCUGGUGUAGCGGUGAAAUGCGUCGAUAU